UCCGUAGGGGUGACCUGCGGAGGGAUCAUUACUGAGUUACCGCUCUAUAACCCUUUGUGAACAUACCUAACCGUUGCUUCGGCGGGCAGGGGAAGCCUCUCGCGGGCCUCCCCUCCCGGCGCCGGCCCCCACCACGGGGACGGGGCGCCCGCCGGAGGAAACCAAACUCUAUUUACACGACGUCUCUUCUGAGUGGCACAAGCAAAUAAUUAAAACUUUUAACAACGGAUCUCUUGGUUCUGGCAUCGAUGAAGAACGCAGCGAAAUGCGAUAAGUAAUGUGAAUUGCAGAAUUCAGUGAAUCAUCGAAUCUUUGAACGCACAUUGCGCUCGCCAGCAUUCUGGCGAGCAUGCCUGUUCGAGCGUCAUUUCAACCCUCAAGCACCGCUUGGUUUUGGGGCCCCACGGCACACGUGGGCCCUUAAAGGUAGUGGCGGACCCUCCCGGAGCCUCCUUUGCGUAGUAACUAACGUCUCGCACUGGGAUUCGGAGGGACUCUUGCCGUAAAACCCCCAAAUUUUUUACAGGUUGACCUCGGAUCAGGUAGGAAUACCCGCUGAACUUAAGCAUAUCAAUAAGCCGGAGGA
rnacentral:rRNA from 1 species